AGAGCCCAUAGGGCAGAGCUGAGUCGGCAGAAAAGGUGACCUACCCUCCCUCCCCAGAGUCUAUGACACUGGGCCCCCGAGACUUCUGAGACCCGGUUUAGGCACCCAGCCCUCCUCAUCCCCUGUCCCAGCAGUCCGUCCACAUCCCCAGAUCCUAAGCCUGAGCACAUACCCCAGCCUCUGCUCUCCCGGCCUUUCUCCAGGGAAGCGGACGCCGGAUUAUCGUUCCUGUUGGACCAGGCUGAAGACCCGGGAUCUUGGUCCCCUCCAGCCGGGUCGCCCCCUAGGUCCCCAAGGAGGCUGCUAAGAAGGGAAGGAGAUUCCCUGGAGGCCAGAAGACUUUGAAUUGUACAGAUUCUAUUUUACCCAAGGGAGUUUCAGACAAGAAUUCUGGCAAGACUGGGACUCACCUUAUCUGACUUCACUCAGGAGCCCUGGCUCAAAUGGACCAAAGGACUGUCCUCCGGGGAAGAAGCUACUAGGGUCAUCAGAGUGUUGGAUGAUGGUCAGGCCAUAGCCCACACAUGCUUGAGCAGCAGCAGCAUCUGGUGCAGCUGACCCCUCCCUCCUUGAAGCACUUUCUCUCCCUGCUUCCAGCACUUCUCUCUGCACCUCUCUGGUCAGGCCUAGUCACUAGCUCAGCAUGUCAACUUUGGCAUGACCCAGGGCCAUGGCAUUGACAUCUCUAUCUGCACCCACCCAUAGGUGCUCUUGUCUAGCUUAAUGACUCUAAACCCCGUCUCUAUUCUGAUAAUCCUCAAAUUUCUGUCUCUAACCUAGACCUGGCUGCGAAAACUUGGGCUCCUACCUCAUCACCAUUUCUCCGCAAGGAUUUAAAAGACAUUUCAAAUUCCAUAGGUUGCAGUGAAAAAAAAAAAGAUAAUUUCUCUCUCUCUCUUUCUCUCUCUCUCUCUGACACUUACUUUAGAGGCUACAUUAAAAAAAAACUAGUUGCCAUGCUAGGGAGGGGUUUGGGUUACACAGGUGUUUGCACUUAUCAAACUUAGUGAAGUGUGUGAAUUUCAUUGUAUGUGAAGUUUACCUCAAAAGAAAAUAUUGAACGCCAGUUAAAGUUA
rnacentral:sRNA from 1 species